rnacentral:rRNA from 1 species
GUCUACGGCCAUACCACCCUGAACGCGCCCGAUCUCGUCUGAUCUCGGAAGCUAAGCAGGGUCGGGUUAGUACCUGUUUAGUACUUGGGAGACCGCCUGGGAAUACCGGGUGCUGUAGGCU